rnacentral:lncRNA from 1 species
UGGCGAUCGUUGGCGGAGAACUUCGUUGCCACAGACAGGCCUAGAUUACAGAUGUGCCUCUGGAUUUUAAAAAGAGCAUCAUCAUCAUCACCACUGUCGUCAUCAUCAUCUAUGUGGGGGGCUUUCUCGACAGAUUCUGAACAACAGUUUUCAACUUAGAGCUUUGAAGAUGAUAGAAGUCCAGAAUAUUCAAAGCUAAUCUGAAUAUUAGAAUGAGCAAUAGGAAGAUCCAUGUCUGGUGGGCAAAAAGGCCCAAAGAAAAUGAAAGAAUACACCAUGCAGAGCUGCUGGUAAGUAACCAUGGGGCA